CAACUUGCAGCAGUUAUAUUCAUAACAACUAAUGGGAUUUACUGUUUUAUUUUUAUUGGAUAAUGGAAAAAGAAAAGAACAGGAAUGAAGAGGAAAAAAAGAAGAAGAAAAGCGAUGCGUUUUAAACACUUCAAUAAAAUGUGAUGCAGACAUGUUUCAAGAAAAAAACAAAUAUAUUAAAAGUAACUGGAUAGAUUAUAUUACGGUCAGAACCAGCCCAAUGCAUACUAAAACUAAGCUUAAGCUUGGCAGCGUUACCAGUCAGUAAAUGCAGCAGGUUUGGUUUCCUAAAAGCAUCAUGAGAGAAACAAAAAUGAUUCCAAAAACGUCUUCAAUCUGGUCAGAUGUAUAGUUGCUUUUAUUCCACAAUCUAGUCCAUUUUCUUUUAUUUGGGCUUGAGCUCCAGAGCGAGAUCCGCCAUUCCAGUUGAUUUUUCCUACUAGGAAAUAGGACAAAUCCAAAUGUGUACUAUUUGUAGUUCCCAAUAACGCAGCAUAAUUCUGCUCUGGGCCUAAACCUUUUUGAGCCAGUUCUAGUGGCGCAUGUAGUGCUUCAUUGCAGAAACAAGCGUAUUGGCUCUCAGAUAAGUUGAAAAGUGCUAAUAUGGAUUCUUCAUUCUAUUUUUUCCACAUUUUCUUCUUAAAAUCGAGGGUUGUUUUUUGUAUUUUUACAAAAAAAAUACAUAUUCACAGGUUUAUCAUAUCCUGUGAAUAUGAUAAACUAGGCAUUAUAAUAAUCAUUUGUCCCAUCAGGAAUAUUUUCUGUGGUUUCAAUGUUUAGAUAUGUUUUUCAUUCUGCUUUUUGAAUAUUCCGGAUAUGUGACAGAAGUCAAGGCGGAAGUCUUUGCAGUAGUGCAUUACUUCCUCUUUCAAAACAUACUGGUUCACAUCCCGCACAGCAGAGUGUCACAGUGCCGUCUAAGGCGGAGUAUGUAACUCAGACUGCCGGAAAGCUUCAUGAUGCGGAGAAAGAGAUACACGAUUGCAGCUGCUCUCCUGCUGUGUGCUGUUAACGCGCUCUGCUCUGACGGUGAUGCAAAUCAGAAAUGUGUGUCGAGCUGGGAGGCGGAUUGCUUUCAGCCAGCUGACCACCUGAAUGAUCCUGAUCCUGUCAGCCUGAAGUUGUCAGCCGGUAAGAAAC